UAUAAAACCCUGAGAGUUGUAUGUAAA
rnacentral:piRNA from 1 species